rnacentral:rRNA from 1 species
UGGAUCCAGACUUUGAUCAUGGCUCAGGAUGAACGCUAGCUACAGGCUUAACACAUGCAAGUCGAGGGGCAGCGGGAUUGAAGCUUGCUUCAAUUGCCGGCGACCGGCGCACGGGUGAGUAACGCGUAUCCAACCUUCCGUACACUCAGGGAUAGCCUUUCGAAAGAAAGAUUAAUACCUGAUGGUAUGAUGAGAUUGCAUGAUAGCAUCAUUAAAGAUUUAUCGGUGUACGAUGGGGAUGCAUUCCAUUAGGUAGUAGGCGGGGUAACGGCCCACCUAGCCAACGAUGGAUAGGGGUUCUGAGAGGAAGGUCCCCCACAUUGGAACUGAGACACGGUCCAAACUCCUACGGGAGGCAGCAGUGAGGAAUAUUGGUCAAUGGACGAGAGUCUGAACCAGCCAAGUAGCGUGAAGGAUGAAGGUCCUACGGAUUGUAAACUUCUUUUAUAAGGGAAUAAACCCUCCCACGUGUGGGAGCUUGUAUGUACCUUAUGAAUAAGCAUCGGCUAACUCCGUGCCAGCAGCCGCGGUAAUACGGAGGAUGCGAGCGUUAUCCGGAUUUAUUGGGUUUAAAGGGAGCGCAGACGGGUCGUUAAGUCAGCUGUGAAAGUUUGGGGCUCAACCUUAAAAUUGCAGUUGAUACUGGCGUCCUUGAGUGCGGUUGAGGUGUGCGGAAUUCGUGGUGUAGCGGUGAAAUGCUUAGAUAUCACGAAGAACUCCGAUUGCGAAGGCAGCACACUAAUCCGUAACUGACGUUCAUGCUCGAAAGUGUGGGUAUCAAACAGGAUUAGAUACCCUGGCAGUCCACACGGUAAACGAUGGAUACUCGCUGUUGGCGAUAUACUGUCAGCGGCUUAGCGAAAGCGUUAAGUAUCCCACCUGGGGAGUACGCCGGCAACGGUGCAACUCAAAGGAAUUGACGGA